rnacentral:rRNA from 1 species
AUUGAACGCUGGCGGCAUGCCUUACACAUGCAAGUCGAACGGCAGCGCGGGCUUCGGCCUGGCGGCGAGUGGCGAACGGGUGAGUAAUACAUCGGAACGUGCCCAGUAGUGGGGGAUAGCUCGGCGAAAGCCGGAUUAAUACCGCAUUCGUCCUGAGGGUGAAAGCGGGGGAUCUUCGGACCUCGCGCUAUUGGAUCGGCCGAUGGCAGAUUAGCUAGUUGGUGGGGUAAAGGCCUACCAAGGCGACGAUCUGUAGCUGGUCUGAGAGGACGACCAGCCACACUGGGACUGAGACACGGCCCAGACUCCUACGGGAGGCAGCAGUCGGGAAUUUUGGACAAUGGGCGAAAGCCUGAUCCAGCAAUGCCGCGUGUGUGAUGAAGGCCUUCGGGUUGUAAAGCACUUUUGGCGGGAACGAAAAGGACUGUGCCAAUACCACGGUUCGAUGACGGUACCCGCAGAAUAAGCACCGGCUAACUACGUG